rnacentral:rRNA from 1 species
UCGAACGAACUCUGGUAUUGAUUGGUGCUUGCAUCAUGAUUUACAUUUGCGUGAGAGGCGAACUGGUGAGUAACACGUGGGAAACCUGCCCCCAUGCGGGGGAUAACACCUGGAAACAGAUGCUAAUACCGCAUAACAACUUGGACCGCAUGGUCCGAGUUUGAAAGAUGGCUUCGGCUAUCACUUCUGGAUGGUCCCGCGGCGUAUUAGCUAGAUGGUGAGGUAACGGCUCACCAUGGCAAUGAUACGUAGCCGACCUGAGAGGGUAAUCGGCCACAUUGGGACUGAGACACGGCCCAAACUCCUACGGGAGGCAGCAGUAGGGAAUCUUCCACAAUGGACGAAAGUCUGAUGGAGCAACGCCGCGUGAGUGAAGAAGGGUUUCGGCUCGUAAAACUCUGUUGUUAAAGAAGAACAUAUCUGAGAGUAACUGUUCAGGUAUUGACGGUAUUUAACCAGAAAGCCACGGCUAACUACGUGCCAGCAGCCGCGAUAAUACGUAGGUGGCAAGCGUUGUCCGGAUUUAUUGGGCGUAAAGCGAGCGCAGGCGGUUUUUUAAGUCUGAUGUGAAAGCCUUCGGCUCAACCGAAGAAGUGCAUCGGAAACUGGGAAACUUGAGUGCAGAAGAGGACAGUGGAACUCCAUGUGUAGCGGUGAAAUGCGUAGAUAUAUGGAAGAACACCAGUGGCGAAGGCGGCUGUCUGGUCUGUAACUGACGCUGAGGCUCGAAAGUAUGGGUAGCAAACAGGAUUAGAUACCCUGGUAGUCCAUACCGUAAACGAUGAAUGCUAAGUGUUGGAGGGUUUCCGCCCUUCAGUGCUGCAGCUAACGCAUUAAGCAUUCCGCCUGGGGAGUACGGCCGCAAGGCUGAAACUCAAAGGAAUUGACGGGGGCCC